UACGAAGGGUGCAAACGUUGCUCGGAAUCAUUGGGCGUAAAGCGCACGUAGGCGGCUUGCCAAGUCGGACGUGAAAUCCCUCAGCUCAACUGAGGACGUGCAUCCGAAACUGGCGAGCUUGAGUACUAAAGAGGAUCGCGGAAUUCCCGGUGUAGAGGUGAAAUUCGUAGAUAUCGGGAGGAACACCGGUGGCGAAGGCGGCGAUCUGGGUAGAUACUGACGCUGAGGUGCGAAAGCAUGGGGAGCAAACAGG
rnacentral:rRNA from 1 species